CAAACGAACAUGACCCCUGCACAACUCCGCAAAGCAGCCAUCCCGACCUCCGCUACCGGCGCUCAGUCAAGUCACCGGACGGAGAAGACCGACGUCGUUUCCGUUUCAGAUUGUCUGCUCUAUAAGCCAAGAUGAUUACCACUCUCAAGGCCCUCAAUUCCAGAGGUCGCUUUCCGAGAAAAUCUCUCGGCCAGCAUUACAUGUUGGAUUCUGAAAUUAACGAGCAGCUUUCUCUUGCGGCUAAUGUUAAGCAAGGGGAUGUGGUUUUAGAGAUUGGACCUGGAACUGGAUCUCUGACCAACGUCCUUAUAAAUGCUGGCACAGUCGUCGAUUAAUUUUGUACAUACCAGAAUUCUUUCUAGCUAGAGAUUAUGUAUUGUUUUUCUUGUUCUGUUCUUGUUUUUUUACAGAAUUAUGCACUCUUUUGAGUUAUGUGCUACAGGAUCCACACAUGGCUGACCUUGUGAGAGAAAGGUUUGCAGGCAUAGACCAGUUCAAGGUAUAUUUUGUGUUUUUGGUUUGAAAUUGCUUUUGCUAUGCGAUCCAAGAAAUUGUUUGAGCAAUAAUAGUUAUUACUCAAAAGUUGGAUGUGUUGAAACAAGUUCCAGGAAAAAAAAGUAUUCAAAACCAAAAAAUCUGGCUGGGAAAACCUAGAAUCUAAUUUUGAAGGAAUUUAAAUUUUAUCCUUUCCAGAUUCUCAUAUCCAUUUUGUUUUUUCUUAAUGUCCGUUCUCCUGUUAGUAAUUGUAGGUAGUGCAGGAGGACUUAACUAAGUCUCACAUUAGCUCCCACAUGAUCAUUGUUGGAAAGUAGAAAGCCAUUAGCUGCAAACUCAGCCCUUGCUAAAGUGAGAACUUAACUUCCUUGAGGUUAUCUAUUUUUUUCCUUUAUCUUCCUGAAUGUGACUAGUGGUUUUGGCCAAGAAGGGGAACCAAAGAAGGAGAAAGAAUUUUGAAACAAUGGAAGAUGGUUAAUUUAGUUUUAAUCCUGGAACCAUGGUCAGUGGUGCGAAGUGCAUGCUGGCUUCAUAUAUGUUGGCAUCGCUUUAAGAAACCUGAAUAUGUGCUCGACCUAACUCGAUUUUAGAUGCAGUACCUUGAGUAACAGAUUGCAGUAUAUGAAAAUAUUAACUAAUUAUAAUCAUGGAGCUAGUUGAUUGGAGCAUUUUUAACCAUUUGAAGAAUGCAAGUUCGAGGGUUCGCCGUUUACUAUAUCUGCAACUAGAUAAGGUUCUUUUUGUAUUGUAUGGUUGAAGUCUAGGUUAACCAACUAGAUUGGCAUUGAGGCAUACUUAACAUUUUUAAGUGCGAUUUUGUGUCACAAUUGUUAACAGUAAUUAAAACAUGCCCCAUGAACCCGAGUUCAACUUUCAUACUACCUUUCUCGUCAUUAAUCCUGAAAAUAAAUUGCAGUAAAUGAGAUGCAAAUCUAACAACAUGCUUUCUUUGGGAUAAAUGUAACCUUCCUUUGCAGGAAUAGAAGUUGUCUUAAUUUUUAGUUAUGUUGUUGAAAAAACCAGUCGGAGUGGAGAAGUAAUAUUCUUUUCAUACAUGAUAGCGAGCUAAUUCCAUGGGACCAGUUGGUUCAUCAAUGCUGGUAACAUUGAAAGACAAAAGAAAGCAUUCAAGUACCAAUACAUGCAUUUUGUUCUAAAAACCCAGCCUUAUCGAUGGGGGAUGGAAAAUGUGACCAAAGUUGGCCUUCAAGAUAUAUACAUCUUGGCAUUAAGAAGCUAGGGGUAUUACAGCCCUUCCUUACUCGCAAAUUGCCUCCACCACAGCUCAUUGAUUCAUAUAUCUGACUGCCACAGAAACAUCUUUACUCAACUGUGACAGGCUAUGUUAACCAGUUUGUAACCAUGCUAAUGGAGGACAUGAUAACUGACUUGAGUUUCAUAUGGUUGAGUGGCACAACCAACUUAUCAUCUACCUGAAUAUAGGAAGUACCGAACUACUUGGGAUGCCUGUCCUGAACGCAAAAGGGGAGGCCAAAGUGCUGUCUGCACAGAUAAAUAAUGAUGGUCUUGUUGAUGCUUGCAUUACAUCUGAUAGUGAUGCAUUCCUCUUUGGAGCUAAAUGCAUGAUAAAACAGGCCCAAUUCAAAAGUAAGGCGUAACCUGUUAACUUAUUUCAGUAGACUUAAACAAUUCUUUUAUUUAUUUAUUUAUUUUGCUUUGAUGUACACAUUCGUCCAAAUUACUGCAUUUUCGUCCAUGAAUAUGGAUGAAAAUUAAUACAGCAUCAACCAAAACUGAGAUGAUUUAUUUGCUGUUAGUCAGCACUAUUAGGGAUUCAUACAUGAUUAUGGUUGUGAAUAUCGAUGUUAUGCUGUUACUCUUGCUAAUGCAGUAUGAGAAGAUAUUAAAAUGGGAGAAUUGUAGUGACUUAAGAAAUAUUUUUCAAUUAUUAUGAUAUCUUAGUAUUUUUAAAUUAUUUAUAUUAUUUAGGAAUACUAGUUAGAUUUAGAAACUUAUUAUUUUAUCUUCUUUAGUUUUAUAUUUUCGUUAUUGGUAGCAAUUAUUGCUACAAAAAGGCUAGUACCUAGAGAAUAGGACCCAAAAUAAAUAGAGAAUUAUUUGCUAGGCUUGCAAUCCUAUUUUCUCACUUCUCUAUGUUGUAUGUUGACUGCCUACUAUUCCCCUUUCUUCUUAUUUGUUCAUCUUAUUCCUUUUCUCCUCUCUAUGUUCUCUGUUAUGUUAAAUGUACGCUAUUUUGAGAAAAAAUUGUUUUAAGGUGAUGAUAUGGCAAUUAUUGUUGUUUUUUAACUAAUUAUUUAUUUCCAUCCUUUGAACAUCCUUCUCUUUCAGUUUUAAUUAUAAUCCAUUGGUGUUUGUUAUGCACUCUUGUGAAUGGUAUUCAAAACUAUAUUGCUUUUUAUAGUUGGCUCUUUACAUUUGGCGUGCGUGAGAAUCUCAUGUCAGCAGGAACUAUUUGAAUGCUACUGUAUGCGAGAUAUUAAAGUUGGUCUUGGGCUGAAGAGGAAGCAUUUGAUAGCCAUCUCACUUUUGGUUGGAAAUGACCAUGACCUACAUGGGGUGCAAGGAAUUGGGCUUGAUACAGCUCUUCAGUUUGUUGAAAAUUUUAGUAACGAGGAGAUAUUGGAUAGGUGUGCCUCUAAGCUGGAUUUAGAUAUCAGAUCUUUUUAUUCUUUUUGUGUAAUAGUUUUCAAUAUGGAUUUUGGGUGAAUAUAGUUACAACUUCUCUUAGAAAAGGAAAAUUCUAUGCAGAUUAUGUGAAAUAGGCCAGGGCAUUACACUAAUAGGCUAGGGCCUACUUAAGUCUUUAAAUGAUGUCAAGCACGGUUCAGAAGAGAGCUUGCAAAAUGCAAGAUCUUCUCAUUGUUCCUUUUGUGGGCAUCCUGGCAACAAGAGAGCACAUUUCAAGUUUUCUUGUGAAUAUUGUGAUCCUGGUAUUGACGGUUGUAUAUAAUAGAAUUCUGCAGGGAUAUUAAUCCAUUAUUUC